AACAGAGGAAUAGUUCAACUAUAACUUUUUGUAGGGGAAAUUUACUGAAAAAUUGAUGAAGAGAAGUUAAGUUGAACAGGCAAACUAAAUUAACCAAUUGAAUUCAAAGAUGAAUCAUAUUAUUAAUAUGAUAUAUUGAAACUUUAGUAAACUGGAUUAAGAAAUGAUUACAUUGUAGCAACCAUUAGGUGGGGCAAAAUACUCCGUAUGAAUUUUUAAAGUAAAACAAGCAAGCAGAUUACUGUUAAAUUUUAUUAAUGACUAAUGAUUCAAUAUCAUUUUAAGCUUGACCUAAUGAUAAGGAUUAUACCUUCUAAGCUUGAAUUGGGGGUUCAAUCUCCACUAGAGGCAUUUUGAAAGUCUUGGAUCCCAUACCCAUCCCUCCACUUUCAAAGUGCUAGCCCCCUAAGUUACUAAAAUAGGAUGAGUAAGCAGAGCUUUGUCCUGGAUAAGAAAAUUCUUAUUAACUAGUCCAAUAUAUUCAAGAUUUGUAUAUGGUCCAAUUCCAUGCAAAAUGAUAAAAUUUUAAAUCUAUACCUUCAGAAAUUGCAAAUUCUAUUGGUAUGUAGAUUGGAAUGAAUUAAAUUUUCAGUCUUUUAUUGUAAUUGUUGUCAGUAAAAAUUUACUAGUAUGUUUUUGAAGGCACUUGGCUGAUUUGAUAUGUAAGUUUUUUACUCAUGGAUGUCCUCAUUUAUAAAGUGAGUGGUCUUUUGAGAGUUGGGAUAUUGUUUUGAUUGGUAGCGAAUGGAGUGAGCUUUUUUUUUUUUUUUUUUUGGUGCUGCAGAUAGUCAUUAAUAUAUCUUGCUCUUGUUUUCAUGAAUUUCUUUGUGAUCUUGUGAUGUUUGAUACGGUGAACCUCUUAGCUGUUGUAGGGGACUGCACAUACUGAUGUGGUUUCCUUUCUACUAGAUAUGUAGUUUGGUUGGCACCAUAUUUUUGUUUGGGGAGGGUUGGGGCCUUGGUGGAUGGUGGGGGUAGGGUGGAGCAAAGCCUUUCAUGUAGAAAGAUCCUGAUCUCCUCUUUGUUAGUUCAUGUAGUCAUUGACUGACUCAUUGUGUAGUUUUUUCUAGGCGUAUGAUGGUUAUAUAGUUCAGGCUAGUGAGCUUGCCUUAUAAUUGGCUAUCAAGUUCUAUAUUCUAGGGUGCUAGUCUUACAAAACUAUUUUGAUUGAAUUUUUAUAACUGAUUUUCGUGUUUCCUUGUUGGUGUUUGUUGCUUUGACUUAUAUUUCCUUUUUUUUGAAUAAAUUGCAUGUAGCUAUUGCGUGCUACAGUUGUAAGUGUUGCAGAAAUUCUCAAAAAUGGUGGGUUGGCUGUUGAGAAGAAGAUCAUGACAUCUACUGUUGAUAUAAAGGAUGAUCAAGAGGUCGGCCAGUCCAGAAGGCAAAGGUAUGGCUGGUUUUUGCUAGCUCUCUUUUCUAUGAACUAUUUUACUUUAAUAUGCAUUGUUAUGCAUGAAUUCGAUUUUUUUGGUGAACUAAGGGCCUGUUUCACCUAACUCCUUUCGUGUGCUUAGUACCUUCUUCUAAAUUUUAACUUAUCUAAACGUAAUUGGCUCCUGUUAUUAUUUAUUUUUCGCUUAAAACUUAAUAUAAUAGCCAUUAUUUGAACUUAUAAUUCUUGAAACUCAUUUUAUUGAGACAAAAAGAAAUAGGCCUAAUCGUAGCUUGUACUCUGAUUUUCUGAUGAUUGUGAGUCUAUUUUUCAGAUAGAGAUUUUACUGGAGAAGUCAGCGGAUUUUAACCAAAUCAUGGCAGCUGCUGCCGAGGAAGCUGAGGUAGCUGCGGUUGAAGACCAGAGUUGAAGCAGAGGUUUUUCUUGUUUUGAUAGGGAUUUGUUUUGGUAGUAACCAAGAUUUUAAGUAGUUGUGUUAUUUCAUUAUAUAUGUCUAGGAAUUUAUUUUUCAAAUGAGCAUGUUGUCAAGUAUUUUUUCCCCCAUUAGUGUAGUUCUUAGAAAAGUUGUGAUCCUGAAAUCAGUUAGUCAUGUCAGAAUACUCUAAAUUCAGUUGCCUGGAUGUAAUCUUUUUUUUUGGGUCAAUGAGAUUGUGGGACAUAAUUUGUGCUUCU